UACGUAGGGACCGAGCGUUGUCCGGAUUCAUUGGGCGUAAAGAGCUCGUAGGCGGCCACUCAAGUCGAAUGUGAAACCUCGAGGCUCAACCUCGAGCCUGCAUUCGAUACUGGGCGGCUAGAGUCUGGUAGGGGGAUCUGGAAUUCCUGGUGUAGCGGUGGAAUGCGCAGAUAUCAGGAGGAACACCGAUGGCGAAGGCAGCCUCCUGGGCCAACACUGACGCUCAUGCACGAAAGCGUGGGGAGCAAACAGG
rnacentral:rRNA from 1 species